rnacentral:rRNA from 1 species
GAUGAACGCUGGCGGCGUGCCUAAUACAUGCAAGUCGAGCGAACGGACGAGAAGCUUGCUUCUCUGAUGUUAGCGGCGGACGGGUGAGUAACACGUGGAUAACCUACCUAUAAGACUGGGAUAACUUCGGGAAACCGGAGCUAAUACCGGAUAAUAUUUUGAACCGCAUGGUUCAAAAGUGAAAGACGGUCUUGCUGUCACUUAUAGAUGGAUCCGCGCUGCAUUAGCUAGUUGGUAAGGUAACGGCUUACCAAGGCAACGAUGCAUAGCCGACCUGAGAGGGUGAUCGGCCACACUGGAACUGAGACACGGUCCAGACUCCUACGGGAGGCAGCAGUAGGGAAUCUUCCGCAAUGGGCGAAAGCCUGACGGAGCAACGCCGCGUGAGUGAUGAAGGUCUUCGGAUCGUAAAACUCUGUUAUUAGGGAAGAACAUAUGUGUAAGUAACUGUGCACAUCUUGACGGUACCUAAUCAGAAAGCCACGGCUAACUACGUGCCAGCAGCCGCGGUAAUACGUAAGUGGCAAGCGUUAUCCGGAAUUAUUGGGCGUAAAGCGCGCGUANGCGGUUUUUUAAGUCUGAUGUGAAAGCCCACGGCUCAACCGUGGAGGGUCAUUGGAAACUGGAAAACUUGAGUGCAGAAGAGGAAAGUGGAAUUCCAUGUGUAGCGGUGAAAUGCGCAGAGAUAUGGAGGAACACCAGUGGCGAAGGCGACUUUCUGGUCUGUAACUGACGCUGAUGUGCGAAAGCGUGGGGAUCAAACAGGAUUAGAUACCCUGGUAGUCCACGCCGUAAACGAUGAGUGCUAAGUGUUAGGGGGUUUCCGCCCCUUAGUGCUGCAGCUAACGCAUUAAGCACUCCGCCUGGGGAGUACGACCGCAAGGUUGAAACUCAAAGGAAUUGACGGGGACCCGCGCAAGCGGUGGAGCAUGUGGUUUAAUUCGAAGCAACGCGAAGAACCUUACCAAAUCUUGACAUCCUUUGACAACUCUAGAGAUAGAGCCUUCCCCUUCGGGGGACAAAGUGACAGGUGGUGCAUGGUUGUCGUCAGCUCGUGUCGUGAGAUGUUGGGUUAAGUCCCGCAACGAGCGCAACCCUUAAGCUUAGUUGCCAUCAUUAAGUUGGGCACUCUAAGUUGACUGCCGGUGACAAACCGGAGGAAGGUGGGGAUGACGUCAAAUCAUCAUGCCCCUUAUGAUUUGGGCUACACACGUGCUACAAUGGACAAUACAAAGGGCAGCGAAACCGCGAGGUCAAGCAAAUCCCAUAAAGUUGUUCUCAGUUCGGAUUGUAGUCUGCAACUCGACUACAUGAAGCUGGAAUCGCUAGUAAUCGUAGAUCAGCAUGCUACGGUGAAUACGUUCCCGGGUCU